rnacentral:sRNA from 1 species
AUUUGGCCGGGGUGCGCGUAGAGUGCCCGUGUCUUGCAGAACAUUCCUCGUAAUCCGUUCGGAAGUACCUCCAGCUUUUUCGGUUGCUACUCCCACAAUUCGCUUUCAGGAACGCGCUGCAAAACAUCGCAAUUCAACCAACAGAGGUAUUUUUCGUGACGACAGGAACAGUGAAGUGGUUUAACGACGCAAAAGGUUUUGGUUUCAUUACCCCGAGCGACGGCAGCAAGGAUGUCUUCGUGCAUCAUUCCGCCGUCCAGGGCAGCGGCUUCAAGAGCUUGGCCGAAGGUCAGAAGGUGACGUUUGACCUGGAGCAGGGCGCGAAGGGCCCGUCGGCGGCGAACGUUCAGCCGGCUUAAGCGUCAAGCACUGCGCAAGCAGGUUUGAGAUCAGGACCUCGCCGGGUGGCGAGGUCUUUUUU